UGACAACAGUAAAUUUUAUCACAUUUUUAUCAUAAAUUCUUAAUAGAAAAUUUUUUUGUCACAUGUACGUCGUACUUAUAGGAUAUAAAGCCUUUUACUCAAAACCGUCACAUGAGUAACUGUCAUUAUAAGUCAUUUUUCUUGUAGUGCUUGAGCUUAAUAAAAUGAUUCUUAGCUUCUAGAUUUUCUCUCUUGACUUGAAUAUUUUCUUUCCUUUUCUUUGACUUUCUCAUCAAACAAAUAGAGCCUUAUAUUUUAACUAUGUCUGCAACCUUUUUAUCAAAUUACUCUCUUCAAUCUUUUUAUCAAUUGUUUAGGGAGAAAUAGAAAAAAUAGCAGAGCGCCACAUGUCGACAAGCGGAAUAACUCCAAUAUAAUUCGAGGUACCCCGCUUAAUUUGAGGUAUCUCUCAUAACUCGAGAGUAAUUCGAGGUACCCCUCAUAACUCGAGAGUAACUUAAGGUACCCCACUUAAUUCGAGGUACCCCGCAUAACUCGAGAGUAACUACCUCGCAUAACUCGAGAGUAACUACCUCGCAUAACUCGAGAGUAACUCAAGGUACCCCACAUAGCUCAGGGUACCCCGUAUAACUUAAGGUACCCGAUAGAUCAUAUGCAGGAGAAUCCUUUGAAAAAAUCUACCAUGAGAAAUGUCUCCAUAUCUUGAAGGAUAAUAUUUGAUUUUGUCAUAAUUAAAAUAUCAAAAUGUCAUACUGAAAAAGUGGCGACAGCCACCUGCCACCUCUGCCAAAAGUGAAGGACAUUGUCCCAAGGACAGUGGUUCUCAGUCGCCUUACCCGACAACCACUGUAGAGGUACCCUGGACCACUCUUUAGUGUGAGCCACAUUCCCAAAGGAUACGAUAUGCCGCGAACGCCUUCUUGAUUCCCAAGAAUGCACAUAACGGCCCAGAAAUCAUAAAAAGGUAAAAUGACGUGAAAGGCCUAGAAAAGGAUAGUCAAUAACCAUAAAAGAUACGCCAUGUGGCAAAUGAGGUACUCCAUAUAUAUAAAGAUGUCCAGGUUUUAUUCUCUCGGGUCAUUCAUUCACUCAUGAACACUUACACUCCACAAAAUAAGCUUUCUUCACCUUAAACCUUGAUUUACAGAGGCUGGCAAGCUCUCUUUACCAUAAAAAAGCUUGAGUUACUAACUUGAGCGUCAAGGUGUGAACGUCGGGUACCCCGACUUCACCUCUAACGUCUAUUUCACUGUUUUGUAGGCGUGAAGCUCGUUUCGAAAGCCAUUUUUCUUGGUUCAAACCUUUAACCAUUGUUACCACUUCCUCAUCCCUUCUCACCUCCUCCGAAUUCAAAGAUACCGCACACAACAAAUUUGUGAGAUACCCCGUUUCCCCUAAAAACACAAAUUCAUUGUUCUAAAUAGGUUUGUCUUUUUCUACCCCCAAAAGCUAUCUAAAACAUCAAUAAUACAUUUCCUUGUAUUUAUUUAAACAUAGCAUGAAAGCGUAACAUUGCAAUUAUAAAAUGUGUAUUCCAUAUAGACAAAAUGAUAUGAAAGGACAUUUUGAGGUACCACAACAUCACUUUAAAAUCAAAUUAUUAUAUACUAAACCAGUUUCUUUAGGAUUUCUCGUGUAUUAAGAGACUACAUGAAGAUCAAAAUUAUCAUACACUACCUCAUCGGUAGUUAUACGGAUUGAUUCAAAAAAUGCAUCCUUCUUUUAACAAGCGUUUCAAACCAUUUAGUCUUACUUAAAAUUUUCAGACUAGAAAAUUAAUUAAAACAUGAAAUAUAUUAUUUAUAUAAGAAAUAGAAAUGGAGUUCACAUGAAGCAUCUGCAAAAGCAGCUUCCACAUUCUUCCAAAUUAUUCAAGGAGCUAGCACUUGUGUAAGUUCUUGGUUCUUGUAUGAUAUACAGUAUACUAUACACAUUCAAGUAUCCCGCAGCUCUUAAAAGUUGAUAUUUAAUUUCCUACGUCGAUCGCGUUUCUCUGUAAAAAAAGAUUGAGAUUCCGACUUUGCCUGGGAAGAUGGUUGGCUACAAAUUUCUACAUUAAAUCAAAUUUUAAAAUAAAUUUGUUCGUUAUUUUUUUCUUUUCUCUCUCGUCUGCGCUCUAAAUCCAAUAAGUAAUCGAUCUUCUGUUGCUAUUAGUUAAGGCUUCUUAAGUUAGAUUUAAGAUGAUUCAGAGCUCUCUUUGGACAUAGUUUAACUUGUUUGCCAAACAAGGAUCGAGGGAGACUGCACACUGGAUACGGAUAUCAAUGCAACAUCAUAUAAUAUACCGGCUUUUGAAGUAUAAGCAAUAACUAACAAAUUACAAAACCAUGAAUUUCUUCACAAAACCUACAAAUUCAUCGGACCAUCCCAAUGAACUGGAGUAAGAAACCAUCCGCAUCAACCUUCUGUUCUUUUAUACGCACUUGAAACAUUCGUGAUGCUCCAAACACUAUUCAUAUGUCCAUCUGUUGUUGCUAAUUAAGACCUUAGUCAAGGCUUGA
rnacentral:lncRNA from 1 species